AACCUUAUGGACCUGCGGGCGUAUACCUGCGGAAGGAUCAUUAUUGAAAUAAAUUUGGUUGGGUUGUUGCUGGCUUCCAACUUGGAGCAUGUGCACACCUAAUCUAUAUUUCUAACCACCUGUGAACCUGUGUAGAACUUGAAACAACUUUCAAGCAAUAAUAAUAACUUUUGCUUGGAUUGAGAAUUGCUGAAAUCAGCUUUUCUUAUGUUUCCAGAUCUAUGUGAUUAUAUACACCAA
rnacentral:misc_RNA from 1 species